rnacentral:rRNA from 1 species
AUUGAACGCUGGCGGCAUGCCUUACACAUGCAAGUCGAACGGCAGCACGGGUGCUUGCACCUGGUGGCGAGUGGCGAACGGGUGAGUAAUACAUCGGAACAUGUCCUGUAGUGGGGGAUAGCCCGGCGAAAGCCGGAUUAAUACCGCAUACGAUCUACGGAUGAAAGCGGGGGACCUUCGGGCCUCGCGCUAUAGGGUUGGCCGAUGGCUGAUUAGCUAGUUGGUGGGUAAAGGCCUACCAAGGCGACGAUCAGUAGCUGGUCUGAGAGGACGACCAGCCACACUGGGACUGAGACACGGCCCAGACUCCUACGGGAGGCAGCAGUGGGGAAUUUUGGACAAUGGGCGAAAGCCUGAUCCAGCAAUGCCGCGUGUGUGAAGAAGGCCUUCGGGUUGUAAAGCACUUUUGUCCGGAAAGAAAUCCUUGGCCCUAAUACGGUCGGGGGAUGACGGUACCGGAAGAAUAAGCACCGGCUAACUACGUG